GGAGUCUGGUGCCUUACCAAUAUUUCACCAAUAAAAGUGUCAAUAGUCAUUUAUUUAUGUUAUGAAACUGUUUUGUUCCCUGUUCAGAAACUUCUAGAGUCUUCUGUGGAUCUACUUAGUUUAAAGAGAAAGCUAGCUUGGGACUUAUUUAUGAGCCCGCAGUGACUGAGACUCUGGGUGGUGGUCUUCAACAUUUACCAUCACAAUCUCACAUGUGAUAUCACCUUAGCCAGACCUUAGCAAAUGGGCAUCCAGAGGUAUCUGUGCACAGGGAGGAAACAGUUCUCCUCUCAGAGCAGAGUAUUUCCCAGGGUUGACUGCAGAGGCAUGGAACAGAAAAGCUGUACAAUGUUAGUUUAGAUAUAUUAGGUAAUCCAGGGAUGCUACAAAGGCCCCAGGUCCACCAGAGUCCAUCUUUAGGUUAAGACCUGUUUUCGGAUUCCCAGAAUAUGAGCCUGAGCUCUAGUUAUGAUGUUUAUUAACUUCAGGGAAAGUAAAGAAGGGAACAGGAUUAAGGAGAUACAUCAGUUGAGUUCGCUAUUUCAAGAACCUUUGGGGAAACUCCACCCAGUGACUUCUGUCUAAUAUCAUUGGCCAGGACUGUGUCAUAUGACCACUCUACCUAUAAGAAACUGGAAUUCUGUGCUGCAUGAAACAAGAUGAAAGCCCUAUAGAAUGAGGGGAGAAGAAAAAGAGUAUUGGACAGUGAGCUCGAGAAUCUAUUGCUUCAGAACUCUCAGUACCAUGAAGUCAGUGGAAUGAUCACUGUCAAGAAUGAGUGCGCAACAGGGGAGCAAAUGACAUCAUUCAUCUCUGGCACAGUGGGAAUGAGUGGAGAUGGACGUGGUCAAGGAACAUUUCUUCACUCCAUGCUCUUAAUAAUUGAGAAACACAUGGGGAUACUGUUUCUAACCCUAACUACUGAAACAACAGGUGGACCUGGAAGUCAUUCAAGAACUGAGAUAAGGACAGCUUCUUUCAUAAAUGACCGGGGAGGUGAAAGUCUAGAAAAUAAACAGUGAACUUCUCACUUUGAAAUAGCAAUAAUUAUAGAGUAAUAAAUAUCAAAUACAUAAGAGAAAAAAGACAAAAUUAAAGACAUUUGUUGCAUUACAUGAAAAAAGCCAUGAGAUUAAAAAAUGUAGAGAUUUUGACUUCUUCUAAAUAAAGUUGAUAAGCAAGCAUUAA